rnacentral:lncRNA from 1 species
GGGUAAGGCAAGUGAGGCAUUUGCCUGUUGGCUGAAGACUUGUCUGAUUUUUGAUCUUUCAGGUGGUUCAGCUGCUUUGUUCCACUAAACCUGAAAUUAACAGUUGAAGUUGAGAGUUAACUACUUCGAGCCCUCCUUCCUUCUCCUCAAAACAAGUGCAAAUGCCAUGAACAGACAGUUGCAAACAGGACUGAACUGUACACCAGGAAGAGUGGAGCCUGAGGCAUACAGAGUACAAUUCCUUGAAAACUACAGUAAUACAGUACAACAGCUGGCUUACAGGAGCUGGCAAGAAGG